UUACAAAAUCCAAUCGUAUGAGUUGCACAAAUUCUUCUCAUAAUCUUUCGGUAUUAAUCUCUAUUCACAAAAUUUAUUGGUCUGUGGCUCCGUGAAAAAGGAUUUUAGAGCUAGAAGACAAUUUUACUACUGGUUUUACGCAUAUUUAGCUUUUUCUCAGCCAGAUUUGUUCUUCUUUAGGUAGGCUGGGUAAUUGAUGUGCAUAAGCUUUAGCUUCUAUUUAUUUUUCUUUUUUGUUGAGCCGCCGUGAGUCAUUUCUCAUUGUACAAAGUCGAUUCUGAAAGUAGGACCAUAUGUUACAUUAUCUUCUGGUAUAUAAUUUGGGUAUAUCUAUGUUUAUACAAAGUCAAUUCUGAAAUGCCUCUUAUAAUGUCAAAGGAUGCCUAGAAAGCUUUUGUGGUAUAUUAUUGUAGUAUGUUUGCAACUGCAAUAAAAUUGACCUGCAUAUGAAUAUAUCAUUUAAAGUUGGGGCACAUCUAACACAAUGUCCAGUCCACUGAUAUGUUUUCCUGUCUUUUUAGCAUGUAUAUGCUUGUCAUUCCUAUAGUACACUACAAAAUCUGAAAUCUUGAACUUAAACUAGUAUUAUUAUUCCCAAAACUUGAGUUACUUGUGCUCUGUAACAUGCUACAGUAGGUUGUAUUCAUUAUUGUGAGUGUAGGACUGUACUCUACAUUUAUCAGUUACUAAAAUCUUUGGAACUGGAAAUCUAGAUUAGCUUGCAUUUAUUUUCUCUUCAUCUGUUUUGAGGUAACUUAUUUAAAGUUCUCUCUAACAUUUAUCAACAGGAAUUUAACUAAGACUAGAACAAAUGGGAAAUAAAACAUCCAUUAUAUGCGAUAUCAAUUAUACGAGACUUCAUGGUUUUCCAUAAUCCUCCCACUUUAUUGGCCACUAGGACACACUCGUGAAUGCAAUAUGCCAAUAUCACUAGUCAAAAUUACGUUUUCUUAUUAAACCUACAUUAAGUUCGAUUUGGGACUUAAUAUGUGAACCAAUUCAAUACUGGCCAGCAUUUUCCUUGUUCUUUUUUUAAUUUUACCUACAUACUUUUAGAGGACAUACAAAUGAGAAGAACUUUGUAGGUCUAACAGUAAACAAUGAAUAAUACCUUGCAUGUGGCAGUGAGAUAAAUGAAGUGUUUGUCUAUCACAAGGCAAUUUCUAAACCAGCAGCUCGGCACAAAUUUGUUUCUGAUGAUCAGAAUAAUCCAGAUGGGGACAUGUCAUCAUUUUUCAUCAGUGUUGUUUGUUGGAAACGUGAUAACCCAAUGAUUGUAACAGCAAACAGUCAGGGGACAAUAAAAACACUUGUUCUUGCUGCUUUAUCAGACGAUCAAACUAAUACAAAUGAUCAAUUAUAUUGAAUGAUUGAUAACGUUUUGACUGAUGAAGAGGCUUUUGAUAAAAAGGAAAAAGAGGGUUGUGUUUAAAAAAAUUUUCUUUCAAAGCAUCACCUUUGAGAUAGAAGACUAUUACUCUAGUGUCGAAAAAAAUAGAAGACGGAUAUUCUGUCAUUGCAGUUUGAUAAUGCUUGCUGCUUUGCUAUUAUUUAGUCGAAGGAUGACAAAACAAAUAACAAAACUUUACAUGUCAGGUUCUUUCUCUUGAUCAAGUAUAGCUUUUAGAAUAUUACUUUCGUUCUUCUUUUUUUGGUAAUUGUGGUUUACAUGUCAAUGAAGGGAAGUCUUGGAGUAACCGGUAAAGUUGCUGCCAUAGGAGGUCACGGGUUCAAGCCUUGGAAACAGCCUCUGGCAGAAAUGCAAGGUAAGACUGCGUACAAUAGACCCUUGUGGUUGGGCCCUUCCCCGGACCCUGCGCAUAGUGGGAGCUUAAGUGCACCGGGCUGCCCUUUUUUGUGGUUUACAUGUCAAUACAACAAGAAGCUCAAAGUUCUAAGUCACCAAAAUUUUCUAUUUGAAGAAAUCCAUUGUUCAAGCAUUUUUUCUUGAAUUGUUUUGAACAUUCUCAUAAUGUAACUACACAUCUUAAAAUGUCUCUGACAUGCAUAACUCUCUCUUGUGAGAUACAAUUUCCUUGAUUUGAAUACUGGAAAUUUCUUCACCCAUUCCAUCAUGAAUAUAUGCAUAUGCAUUGCUGCCAGAGUAACAAAAAGGAAAAACAUCAGCUAUUAGGUAGGAUGAAAUUCUUGAAUCUGAUAUUCAAAUAUAGUUAAUUCUUGAUCACAACAUCAUUGUUUCUUUUUUUAACCAAUUUUUGCAUCACCAGAGUUGUAGUCUGAACUUGUAUUUGAGUAUAACCAGCCUACGCCAGCUGGAGGUUCAAUAAAGAGGGGCUUUGAUGCAACAAUGGACAAAAGACAUGAAGUGGUGUCAAAAAUGAAGAAAGGGAAGAAGUAGUGAAGACGACCUUACCUAGUUACUUGAGAAGAUUUCUAGGUUGUUGAUAGAUAUGUUAUAAUAUUCAUUUUGCUAUCAAAUGUUAUGUAACUUAUCGUAAUUCUUGAAAUCAUGUAAAACUGAACUAAUCAUGAUUUGGGUUUGACCACUUUUCAUAUACAGAUACAUAUCACAGAUUGUUGGGUAUUUUGAAUUAUCAAUGAAUAUGAAAAAUAUUUGUUUU